AUUUAAAGAGGUUGACAUGAAGAGGGUUUGAGCUUUCCAAGUUUAGUAAAAACUCUAAAUGUCCUGUGGAAAAUAGGGCUUAUGACACUUCUAUUGAGUUUGCAAUUAGAAGGAAGUAUUGAGGAUUACAUAAAACAUUUUUUUCCACUUUGUGAAAGGAAGGAGGUAGUAAAUGCUGGUUGUUCUUUGAAAUAGUGUUAAACAGGAUGUUGGAAGCCUGAAAGAGAAUGGUUGGAAAGCUGUUAUUACCAGGAAUAUUCUUUGGGGUUAGGCAUUAGCAACAGAGCAUGUAAUCAUUUGCCUUUACCGAAAAAGAGUACUCUAUGUAUGUGUUUAUUUUAUUAGUCUUUAAUGACAUAUGUGGGGUUAGGGGUGGAUUGUCAUGCACUUUGGAAGCAUGUAAGAAAAGUUAUAUGCUAAUAAGAACAUUUUAAGUGUGUGGAUUUGAUAAUAUAGUUCCUGUGAAUGAUUGGAAACUAUUGGAAAAAGCUUUAGUAAAUGGAGC
rnacentral:lncRNA from 1 species